AUACGUAGGGUGCAAGCGUUAACCGGAAUUACUGGGCGUAAAGCGUGCGCAGGCGGUUUUGUAAGACAGUGGUGAAAUCCCCGGGCUCCACCUGGGAACUGCCAUUGUGACUGCAAGGCUGGAGUGCGGCAGAGGGGGAUGGAAUUCCGCGUGUAGCAGUGAAAUGCGUAGAUAUGCGGAGGAACACCGAUGGCGAAGGCAAUCCCCUGGGCCUGCACUGACGCUCAUGCACGAAAGCGUGGGGAGCAAACAGGAUUAGAUACCCUGGUAGUCCACGCCCUAAACGAUGUCAACUGGUUGUUGGGGAUUUAUUUUCUCAGUAACGAAGCUAACGCGUGAAGUUGACCGCCUGGGGAGUACGGCCGCAAGGUUAAAACUCAAAGGAAUUGACGGGG
rnacentral:rRNA from 1 species